AGCAUUUUAGGCCGAUCAGUUUGUCAUCCGUGAUGCUUACACUCAAAAAAAUCCAAACGUUAUUGGUACGUGGUAAAUCACGUACAUCAUUCCAAAUUCAUUUUGCCUCCUAUUCACCUGUCUAAGGUAAUGCUUACUAGAGCAUGUAUAGUUACCAAAUGCUGACCCGAUGAUUGUUACUGUGGCUACCAAUCGCACUUACGUGAAAUUCACGUAGGCUCAUGAAUUUAUUUGGGCAUCUGCAUUUCGUGUUCAUUCUCUCUUGAGUUCAAAUUUAAAGAUGGUGGUCGCAAGUUUCUCCAGGAGCUGCUGGCCUUCAAAAUAAUUGAUUUCAAGAUUACGCAACGUUGAACAGCAAGUCCAGCCAACCUUGAAGAGAAACCCGACAUUUUUUAACGGAAGGAGACUUGGACAAUCUUGAGAAGAACGUACCUUUGUUUUGAUGGAAUGUCACCGUGUCAGUCAGUGUGUUGCUGAAUAUUUUAUUGGAAAUAAUGAUAAAAUAUAAUAAAUAGUUUAAUCUGUUGAGUGUUUUUUUUUUAUUUGAGGAGCUACUGCAUUGCAUAAGCCAAUGCAAAACAGAAUUAGUUUCUAUGCAAUUAUUCUGAUAUCAUUUAAUGAAUAACCAUUUACGAUUUAUUGAGACGCUUCGUAAAAGCUACGUGGAAAUUCAUGUAGCUGUGACGUGAAACUUCGAUGGAUCUGAUAAGGUCCAUUUGUUCAUGCGUUCAUUCAGUGCUACUUAUGAUCCACGUAAGUGCUACGGGAAAAGUGGGAUGGAAAAAAAAACCACGUACGUUUUCACGUAACAAUGGCGUUUGGAUUAUUUUGA